rnacentral:rRNA from 1 species
AUUGAACGCUGGCGGCAUGCCUUACACAUGCAAGUCGAACGGUAACAGGUCUUCGGAUGCUGACGAGUGGCGAACGGGUGAGUAAUACAUCGGAACGUGCCCGAUCGUGGGGGAUAACGAAGCGAAAGCUUUGCUAGUACCGCAUAAGAUCUACGGAUGAAAGCAGGGGACCGCAAGGCCUUGCGCGAACGGAGCGGCCGAUGGCAGAUUAGGUAGUUGGUGGGAUAAAAGCUUACCAAGCCGACGAUCUGUAGCUGGUCUGAGAGGACGACCAGCCACACUGGGACUGAGACACGGCCCAGACUCCUACGGGAGGCAGCAGUGGGGAAUUUUGGACAAUGGGCGAAAGCCUGAUCCAGCCAUGCCGCGUGCAGGAUGAAGGCCUUCGGGUUGUAAACUGCUUUUGUACGGAACGAAAAGACUCUGGUUAAUACCUGGGGUCCAUGACGGUACCGUAAGAAUAAGCACCGGCUAACUACGUG